rnacentral:rRNA from 1 species
UGCAAGUCGAACGGCAGCAUGAUCUAGCUUGCUAGAUUGAUGGCGAGUGGCGAACGGGUGAGUAAUACAUCGGAACGUGCCCUGUAGUGGGGGAUAACUAGUCGAAAGAUUAGCUAAUACCGCAUACGACCUGAGGGUGAAAGUGGGGGACCGCAAGGCCUCAUGCUAUAGGAGCGGCCGAUGUCUGAUUAGCUAGUUGGUGAGGUAAAGGCUCACCAAGGCGACGAUCAGUAGCUGGUCUGAGAGGACGAUCAGCCACACUGGGACUGAGACACGGCCCAGACUCCUACGGGAGGCAGCAGUGGGGAAUUUUGGACAAUGGGCGAAAGCCUGAUCCAGCAAUGCCGCGUGUGUGAAGAAGGCCUUCGGGUUGUAAAGCACUUUCGUCCGGAAAGAAAUGGCUCUGGUUAAUACCUGGGGUCGAUGACGGUACCGGAAGAAUAAGGACCGGCUAACUACGUGCCAGCAGCCGCGGUAAUACGUAGGGUCCAAGCGUUAAUCGGAAUUACUGGGCGUAAAGCGUGCGCAGGCGGUUGUGCAAGACCGAUGUGAAAUCCCCGAGCUUAACUUGGGAAUUGCAUUGGUGACUGCACGGCUAGAGUGUGUCA